UAGCCUAGUGGUCAAGGCUAUGGAUCGUAAAUCCGGAGACGGCGGGUUCGAUUCCCGU
rfam:Aedes albopictus isolate Foshan contig5781, whole genome shotgun sequence.